rnacentral:rRNA from 1 species
CGUAGUCGGAUUGGAGUCUGACUCGACUCCAUGAAGUCGGAAUCGCUAGUAAUCGGAUCAGCAUGCCGCGGAAUAUCUCGGGUCUUGUACACCGCGUCACACCAUGGAAGUGGAUGCCCAAAGUAAUGUCUAACUUCGGGAGGGCGUUACACGGGUGCUUCAUGACUGGGGUGAAGUCGAACAAGGUAGCCGUAGGGAACUGUGGCUGGAUCACCUCCUU